rnacentral:sRNA from 1 species
AGUUUGAUCAUGGCUCAGAUUGAACGCUGGCGGCAGGCCUAACACAUGCAAGUCGAGCGGUAGCACAAGAGAGCUUGCUCUCUGGGUGACGAGCGGCGGACAGGUGAGUAAUGUCUGGGAAACUGCCCGAUGGCGGGGGAUAACUAGUGGAAACGGUAGCUAAUACCGCAUAACGUCGCAAGACCAAAGUGGGGGACCUUCGGGCCUCACGCCAUCAGAUGUGCCCAGGUGGGAUUAGCUGGUAGGUGGGGUAACGGCUCACCUAGGCGACGAUCCCUAGCUGGUCUGAGAGGAUGACCAGCCACACUGGAACUGAGACACGGUCCAGACUCCUACGGGAGGCAGCAGUGGGGAAUAUUGCACAAUGGGCGCAAGCCUGAUGCAGCCAUGCCGCGUGUGUGAAGAAGGCCUUCGGGUUGUAAAGCACUUUCAGCGAAGAGGAAGAGUAAUGUGCUAAUAAGACAUUGCAUUGACGUUACUCGCAGAAGAAGCACCGGCUAACUCCGUGCCAGCAGCCGCGGUAAUACGGAGGGUGCAAGCGUUAAUCGGAAUUACUGGGCGUAAAGCGCACGCAGGCGGUUUGUUAAGUCAGAUGUGAAAUCCCCGCGCUCAACGUGGGAACGGCAUUUGAGACUGGCAAGCUAGAGUCUUGUAGAGGGGGGUAGAAUUCCAGGUGUAGCGGUGAAAUGCGUAGAGAUCUGGAGGAAUACCGGUGGCGAAGGCGGCCCCCUGGACAAAGACUGACGCUCAGGUGCGAAAGCGUGGGGAGCAAACAGGAUUAGAUACCCUGGUAGUCCACGCUGUAAACGAUGUCGAUUUGGAGGUUGCGCCCUUGAGGGGUAGCUUCCGUAGCUAACGCGUUAAAUCGACCGCCUGGGGAGUACGGCCGCAAGGUUAAAACUCAAAUGAAUUGACGGGGGCCCGCACAAGCGGUGGAGCAUGUGGUUUAAUUCGAUGCAACGCGAAGAACCUUACCUACUCUUGACAUCCAGAGAACUUUCCAGAGACGGAGGGGUGCCUUCGGGAGCUCUGAGACAGGUGCUGCUCGGCUGUCGUCAGCUCGUGUUGUGAAAUGUUGGGUUAAGUCCCGCAACGAGCGUAACCCUUAUCCUUUGUUGCCAGCGAUAAAGUCGGGAACUCAAAGGAGACUGCCGGUGAUAAACCGGAGGAAGGCGGGGAUGACGUCAAGUCAUCAUGGCCCUUACGAGUAGGGCUACACACGUGCUACAAUGGCGUAUACAAAGAGAAGCGACCUCGCGAGAGCAAGCGGACCUCACAAAGUACGUCGUAGUCCGGAUUGGAGUCUGCAACUCGACUCCAUGAAGUCGGAAUCGCUAGUAAUCGUAGAUCAGAAUGCUGCGGUGAAUACGUUCCCGGGCCUUGUACACACCGCCCGUCACACCAUGGGGGUAGGUUGCAAAAGAAGUAGGUAGCUUAACCUUCGGGAGGGCGCUUACCACUUUGUGAUUCAUGACUGGGGUGAAGUCGUAACAAGGUAACCGUAGGGGAACCUGCGGUUGGAUCACCUCCUUACCGAAAGAUACUGAUUUGCGUGGCGUGCUCACACAGAUUGUCUGAUGAAAGUCAAUGAGCAAGAAAACCCUUUACACGGAAAUAGCCAAUCAGCGAUUUGCCAGGCAAUUUCUGUGUCCCCAUCGUCUAGAGGCCUAGGACACCGCCCUUUCACGGCUGUAACAGGGGUUCGAAUCCCCUUGGGGACGCCAUUGUGAUAAUGAGUGGAAGACAUUAUCACCGACUAUCUCAAAGCUGACUUGCGAGUCGGGUUUGAGAUAGUGCUCUUUAACAAUCUGGAACAAGCUGAAAAUUGAAAAAUGACGGCUGAAGCUUAUCCCUGCGUAGAGGUAUUGGGUAAGGGUCAAGCUGUCAUGGUGACACUCACCUUUUUGCAAUGCGAAGUGAGACACCUUCGGGUUGUAAGGUUAAGUGACUAAGCGUACACGGUGGAUGCCUAGGCAGUCAGAGGCGAUGAAGGGCGUGCUAAUCUGCGAAAAGCGCCGGUAAGGUGAUAUGAACCGUUAUAGCCGGCGAUAUCCGAAUGGGGAAACCCAGUGUGAUACAUCACACUAUCGUUAAGUGAAUACAUAGCUUGACGAAGCGAACCGGGGGAACUGAAACAUCUAAGUACCCCGAGGAAAAGAAAUCAACCGAGAUCCCCCCAGUAGCGGCGAGCGAACGGGGGCCAGCCCAGAACCUGAAUCAGCGGGUGUAUUAGUGGAAGCGUCUGGAAAGUCGCGCAGUAAAGGGUGAUAGCCCCGUACACAAAAAUGCACUGGCUGUGAGUUCGAUGAGUAGGGCGGGACACGUGACAUCCUGUCUGAAUAUGGGGGGACCAUCCUCCAAGGCUAAAUACUCCUGACUGACCGAUAGUGAACCAGUACCGUG